CAGGUGUUUACUUAUUGUGUCCGCUUCCCUCACGCUACAAAGUUAACCAGUAGUAAGCACUUAUUAACUGCUGAAUGGAUAUACGAUAAUAGAAGUCUCCUCUCCAGCCCCUUCAUGUUGGAUGUGCCCACCCCGGGGCUUGGAGACAUGGAUACCCAAGAUUGCACCCAGGACUGGUUUCAACUUCUAGGAUUGAGUUUUCAGCGGAGAGCACCAGACAAAUCGUUUAAGACUUUCACGAUCGCUAAAGGGAAAAGAUGCCGCUCAUAUCUAGCAGAAUAACCUCUUCCCCAGCCCUUGCCCAAAAACGAUGCCUAGUCAUUUCUCCCGCGGGCAAAAGCAGGGCUCCCGGGGCGGGACCCCACCUAGCCAGCGGGGCUCCAGACCCCGCCUCCCGGCCUCGCAGCACCCGGAACCACGGCAAGCACCGCCCCCCACGGCCGCCCGGAAAACCCGGAGCGUGGAGCCCGGCGGCUGGGAACUGCGCGCAGCCGCGCGGCCGCGCUGAGCAUGCUCGGAGAGCGGGUCCGUCGCGGGAGGAAGCGGCGCGGGCUGCGGCCGCUGCACGCCGCGCCGUUGUUGUGGUACAGCCCCCAGCACGUGACUGCGCCGGCCCGCCUCCCCGUGACUCAGCACUUUGUGCCGGCUCCGGGCUGGAGGUCAAUUCCGGGAGGCUGCUCGGGGCAGAGUCCCUGUCCGCCACUCCCGACCGCUGGGCAGCUGCUGCAGCAGGCGUUUAAGGCUCGUCAGUUUUCGGGCCUCCAGGCAAGGAGGAAAAAAUGUAUCAUUUCCCUGUGGUCACGCCAUUCCCAUUUCUCCUGAGUCAGCGGCGCCGCGGAGAGCCCCGAGCGGGCCUCGCAGAGAUCAAGUGAAGAAAGCGGAGGGGCUGUGCCUAGGCGUCUCUGAGGGAGGGACGUGUAGGUUCCAGCCACUUGCGGUCACCUGUCCCAGCCCUUACUGCUCUCUUCGGCCCGGGCAUCCCCUUGAUGGUCUCAGUAACUGACUCUGUAUGGCGCACCUGCUUUAUGCCAAGCACUCUGGUCUGGAAUCCAUAGAACAGUCUUGGUUGUUGCCACGUUUAAUGGAUGAGGCAAUUGAGGUCCAGUAUAGUACGUGGCAGGUAGUGGCUACGCAGGGAUUUGCACUCCAGCGUGAUUUCAAGGCUGGUGCGCUUUCUCCUGAGUCUCAAGGGCUAGAUUGGCUUCUUUCCGUCUUUGUCCCUUGAGACAGCCUUUCCCCAGAAGGCCUCUGAUCUGCCAGUGAGGUGCUUAAGAUUUUCUUUCUUUUUAUGGUAAUUAAUUGGUAGGAACAAACAGUUAUUUCUUAACUUCAGUGUACACGGUACAAAAUGCAGAAGAUAUAGAAAGGAUUUUCUCCCU
rnacentral:lncRNA from 1 species